AGUGACGCUAAUGCGCACUAGACUAAUUCUAGUCUUAGCACACUAGCACAGCUUUUGCCGUGACAUGCUAACGCGCAGUAGAAUUAGCCUACUGUGCAAUUAGUGCCUCAUGUAGAUACACCCACUGAGCU